AGGUGCAGAUGCAGUUGCAGG
rnacentral:miRNA from 1 species